rnacentral:lncRNA from 1 species
ACUUUACUAUUAUAUUUCUUUGUUGAGUUUCAUUAUUAGUGCUCUAACUUUGUGCUUUUAUAUACUUAACUCCAUAAGAGAUUCUCUUAUUAUUAUAAGAAGUAUUUUGUGUCAUUAGAAGGGUGAUUGAAGAGUGGCAAAGCUUAAGUAAGAGGUUUAAAUAGAGUAUAACACUUGUGAAAAUUCUUAUAUGUGAAGUUGAGAG